rnacentral:lncRNA from 1 species
ACCUUAAUGAAAAAUAAUAAUGCUGAAAAACAAACCAGAUAUUUACCUGUUCCUUGCACUCAGGGAACAGGCAAUGUUGAGGGAUACCUGGGGUCCUCGAAGCACCUGUUAGCAGUUUGGCUAGUGGUUUCAAGAAGCAGACACAGACGGCAGCCUCACCACGGGAACCAAGACGCACAACUCGAUGACACUUCUGAGCCAAUGAGCACAGCACUGAUGACUGGAGGGCAUGCAUAUAAGAUGCUCCUGUUUAACAUCUGACUUCCUCCAGCCAUGGAGCGAGAACAUAAAGAUCUGCCUUCCAAAACAGUAGCAUAAACCUGAACCAGAGUUUGGGAAGUAAUGGCUUACUAGUAUAGUGCUACAGUAAUAAUAUUA